AACGCACCUUGCGCCCCCUGGUAUUCCGAGGGGCACACCCGUUUGAGUGUCGUGAAAACCUCAACCUCCUUGGUUUCUUCUGGAGACCAAAGCAGGCUUGGACUUUGGAGGCCUUUGCUGGCACCUCUCGCCAGCUCCUCUUAAAUGAAUUAGCAGGGUCCUCUUUGCUGAUCCUCGACGUGUGAUAAGAUGUUUCCAUGUCUUGGUUUCUGGCUCUGUCACCUUUGGGACCCGCUUCUAACCGUCUUCAACCUUGCGUUGAGACAACGUUCGAGCAUGUCUCCCUUCUCGGGAAGCUCCCUCGACCCCCACGAACCCUUGACCUCAAAUCGGGUGAGACUACCCGCUGAACUUAA
rnacentral:misc_RNA from 1 species